rnacentral:rRNA from 1 species
UACGGGGGGAGCAAGCGUUGUUCGGAUUUACUGGGCGUAAAGGGCGCGUAGGCGGCCACCGCAAGUCGACUGUGAAAUCUCCGGGCUUAACCCGGAAAGGUCAGCCGAUACUGCGGGGCUAGAGUGCAGAAGGGGCAACUGGAAUUCUCGGUGUAGCGGUGAAAUGCGUAGAUAUCGAGAGGAACACCUGCGGCGAAGGCGGGUUGCUGGGCUGACACUGACACUGAGGAGCGAAAGCCAGGGGAGCAAACGGG